rnacentral:rRNA from 1 species
UAAUACGAAGGGGGCUAGCGUUGUUCGGAUUUACUGGGCGUAAAGCGCACGUAGGCGGCUCGUUAAGUCAGAGGUGAAAGCCUGGAGCUCAACUCCAGAACUGCCUUUGAUACUGGCAAGCUCGAGUAUGGCAGAGGUUGGUGGAACUCCGAGUGUAGAGGUGAAAUUCGUAGAUAUUCGGAAGAACACCAGUGGCGAAGGCGGCCAACUGGGCCAUUACUGACGCUGAGGUGCGAAAGCGUGGGGAGCAAACAGG